GGUGACUGCGUACCUUUUGUAUAAUGGGUCAGCGACUUAUAUUCUGUAGCAAGGUUAACCGAAUAGGGGAGCCGAAGGGAAACCGAGUCUUAACUGGGCGUUAAGUUGCAGGGUAUAGACCCGAAACCCGGUGAUCUAGCCAUGGGCAGGUUGAAGGUUGGGUAACACUAACUGGAGGACCGAACCGACUAAUGUUGAAAAAUUAGCGGAUGACUUGUGGCUGGGGGUGAAAGGCCAAUCAAACCGGGAGAUAGCUGGUUCUCCCCGAAAGCUAUUUAGGUAGCGCCUCGUGAAUUCAUCUCCGGGGGUAGAGCACUGUUUCGGCAAGGGGGUCAUCCCGACUUACCAACCCGAUGCAAACUGCGAAUACCGGAGAAUGUUAUCACGGGAGACACACGGCGGGUGCUAACGUCCGUCGUGAAGAGGGAAACAACCCAGACCGCCAGCUAAGGUCCCAAAGUCAUGGUUAAGUGGGAAACGAUGUGGGAAGGCCCAGACAGCCAGGAUGUUGGCUUAGAAGCAGCCAUCAUUUAAAGAAAGCGUAAUAGCUCACUGGUCGAGUCGGCCUGCGCGGAAGAUGUAACGGGGCUAAACCAUGCACCGAAGCUGCGGCAGCGACACUAUGUGUUGUUGGGUAGGGGAGCGUUCUGUAAGCCUGUGAAGGUGGCCUGUGAGGGUUGCUGGAGGUAUCAGAAGUGCGAAUGCUGACAUAAGUAACGAUAAAGCGGGUGAAAAGCCCGCUCGCCGGAAGACCAAGGGUUCCUGUCCAACGUUAAUCGGGGCAGGGUGAGUCGACCCCUAAGGCGAGGCCGAAAGGCGUAGUCGAUGGGAAACAGGUUAAUAUUCCUGUACUUGGUGUUACUGCGAAGGGGGGACGGAGAAGGCUAUGUUGGCCGGGCGACGGUUGUCCCGGUUUAAGCGUGUAGGCUGGUUUUCCAGGCAAAUCCGGAAAACCAAGGCUGAGGCGUGAUGACGAGGCACUACGGUGCUGAAGCGACAAAUGCCCUGCUUCCAGGAAAAGCCUCUAAGCAUCAGGUAACAUCAAAUCGUACCCCAAACCGACACAGGUGGUCAGGUAGAGAAUACCAAGGCGCUUGAGAGAACUCGGGUGAAGGAACUAGGCAAAAUGGUGCCGUAACUUCGGGAGAAGGCACGCUGAUAUGUAGGUGAAGCGACUUGCUCGUGGAGCUGAAAUCAGUCGAAGAUACCAGCUGGCUGCAACUGUUUAUUAAAAACACAGCACUGUGCAAACACGAAAGUGGACGUAUACGGUGUGACGCCUGCCCGGUGCCGGAAGGUUAAUUGAUGGGGUUAGCGGUAACGCGAAGCUCUUGAUCGAAGCCCCGGUAAACGGCGGCCGUAACUAUAACGGUCCUAAGGUAGCGAAAUUCCUUGUCGGGUAAGUUCCGACCUGCACGAAUGGCGUAAUGAUGGCCAGGCUGUCUCCACCCGAGACUCAGUGAAAUUGAACUCGCUGUGAAGAUGCAGUGUACCCGCGGCAAGACGGAAAGACCCCGUGAACCUUUACUAUAGCUUGACACUGAACAUUGAGCCUUGAUGUGUAGGAUAGGUGGGAGGCUUUGAAGUGUGGACGCCAGUCUGCAUGGAGCCG
rnacentral:rRNA from 1 species